rnacentral:lncRNA from 1 species
UUUUUUUUUUUUUUUUUUUCUUUUUUUUUUUUUGUCUUUUAGGGCCACACCCUUGGCAUAUGGAGAUUGAAUCAGAGCUACAGCUGCUGGCCUACACCACAGCCACAGCAAUGCCAGAUCUGAGCCGCGUCUGCAACCUACACCACUGUUCACGGUAACGCCAGAUCCUUAACCCACGGAGUGAGGCCAGAGAUCGCAUCUGUGGCCUCGUGGAUCCUAGUCAGAUUCAUUUCCACUGAGCCACGACAGGAACUCCUAAUUUUUAACCCAUUUUUAAAGAUGAGGAACAGUUAAUUUACCAUGCUGUGUUAGCUUCAGGGGUAUAGCAAAGACAUUCAGUUUUUUAUAUAAUCUUUUUCAGAUUCUUUUCUAUUAUAGGUUAUUACAAGACAUUGAAUAUAGUCCCCUGUGCUAUACAGUAGGUCCUUGUUGAUUAUUUUUUUUUUUUUUUUUUUGACCACACUCUGGGCAUGUGGAAGUUCUUGGGUCAGGGAUCAAACCUGAGCCACACCACCAACCCAAGUCCUUACAGUGACAAUGCAAGAUCCUUAACCUGCUGCCUUGCAAGAGAACCCCCUCAUUGAUUAUCUAUUUCAUGUGUGGUAGUGUACAUAUGUUAAUCCCAAACUCCUAAUUUAUCUGCUCCAGCCACUAUCCCCUCUGGUAGCCAUACAUUUAUUUUCUGUGUCUGUGAGUCUCUUUGUACUUUGGGAAUAAGUUAGUUCACAUCACUUUUUUUUUAAUAUUAUACAUGUAGGUGAUAUAUGACAUCUGUCUUUCUCUGACUUACUUCACUUAAUACAAUAAUCUCUAGGUCAUGUUCUGCAAAUGACAUUAUUUCAUUCUUUUUUAUGGCUGAGUAAUAGUCCAUUGCAUAUAUAUGUGCCACAUCUUCUUUAUUCACUCAUCUGUCAAUGGACACUUAGGUUGCUUCCGUGUCUUGGCUAUUGAAAGUAGUGCUGCUAUGAACAGUGGGGUGGGUACAAUUCUGUUUUAAACAGAACAUCCCUUGCCCAGCAUUAGGGUCAGAAAAAACCCACCAAUACAUAAGUUAGUCUUCCCAUAAAACUGUAAAUCCCACAGAGCCCUACAGCCUGUAAUGCUGGCCUCUCUACAGCUAAACUGGGUAUAUGGGAUUGGGGAAGAAGUUUAGGACGCUUUGGAGAGAAAGCGGAGGAAAACAAAAUAUUAUUAGCACUCUAGUACAGAUGGCUUUCAAAAAUUUACCCAAAAGCAGAAUGCUCAUUUUCAGAAAGCGCCUGCCUUCUUAAAAUAAUCUGGAAAAAUCCCAAGAACAUCUCCUAUAUAAAUGAUCCAAUAUUCACUGCUUCAGCUGGAAAUGUGUGUGUGUGGGGGGAAAUGUCUUUGUUCUUUCAGUCUUUGCUCCUCCCAUUUUUUCCUGACAACAGUAGAUAGAGGAAUAGCACCUGAUGAGUCCAAUGAACGUGGAUAAGGAGGCCCAUCUCCGGCCCUGGGGAGGGCUGGUCCACUAGGACAUGAGCAUCUCUGCAGGCAGGUGCAGAGGGAAGGAUCUGCCUCACUGGGUCCAGGAUGUGACUACCGCCCAAAGGACACCUGAACUGCCUUCUUUCUCCUGCCUCCUGUAGCCCGUUUCACUGAAGAGUUGUUUAUUGUGUAAUUAAUGAAAGGUAAUGGCCCUUGCAGAUGCUUUACCAGGGAGCCCAACAUUCAGGCUCCUGCUACUGAUUAAGACAGAUUCUUCCCCCCACCCCUCCUCUUAAUCACCCAGCUCUGGAAGACAUUUUUAAAGCUCCCAGGGCCUCCCAGAGGACCAAGGGUUGUUAAUCUCAGCACCAGCACCCUCCUCGCUCAACCAAGAUUCUUCCAAAAACCACAAAAGGGCCUACAAAGCAAAAGGGGAGCCAUUACUUUUCCCCUUCAGGCCUAUUACCUGCUUUAUCCUCAGGGAAAAAUAGCUCAGUCAGUAGUUCUUGGUUGGCUGGCUAGGGCCCCAAGCUGUGCUUCUGCUCAGAACUUCCCAGUACAUGGUUAAAAAUCAUAGUUAAUGCUUCCCAGAAAUAAAUAUUUCAAAGCCACUUGCUUUCUGGCCUGCCAGAUGGCUGCAUUUCACACUCCCAACUGUGUCAGACUCCCAAAAACUCAGCGAUUCGAAUUUUGCCAUGGGGUGUAUGAUCCUGGAAUAGGGGUGGGGUGGUGGAUGGGUAACAUAGAAAGGGUUUUUUGUUGUUGUUGUUUUUGUAAUUCUUAUAGGAAUGAGUAACACUGGCUUCACUCUAGUUAUCAGAGGAACAUCAUUCAUGGGUAAUUCCACAGCAAAAAUGCCAGCGAGCCGUCAGAGUCGGUGAAAGUUCAUGUCAUAUUUAUUGAUACCUGCCCACUGACUCCAUCCUCACCUCAAAUCCUGCCUCCGUUUCAUCACCCUCUCUCUCUCCCUCCCUGCAAGAUGGACUCAGGGAACACCAGUCCUUGAGGUGGGUUGAUACACUUGGAAUUCCUUGCACAUCAAAUCAGAUGCACAUACCCAAGAGCCCAAGUAGAGCUGAGAGGCAGAGUCCUCUGAAUCCUUUCUUUUACUUUUUAGGGCCUCACCUGCAGCAUGUGGAAUUUCCCAGGCUAGAGAUCGAAUCAGAGCUACAGAUCGAAUCAGAGCUACAGCUGCCAGCCUACGCCACAGCCACAGCAAUAUCAGAUCCGAUCCUGCGACCUACACCACAGCUCACGGCAACACCAGAUUCCUCACCCACUGAACACGGCCAGGGAUUGAACCCACAUCCUCAUGGAUACUAAUCAGAUUCGUUACUGCUCCCUCUGAAUCUUUUUAGAUACAAGUUUUCCCCAGUCUGUUCAGGCUGCGAUCACAGAAUACUGUGGACUGGCUGGCUGGCCAACAACAGAAAUGGAUUUCUCACAGGUCUGGAGGCUGGGAAGUCCCAGAUUCAGUGUUUGGGGAGUGCCUGCUUCCUGGUCCAGAGUUGUUGUCUUCUUCUUUUUCCCUUUGCUACACAGUAGGACCUUGUUGUUGAUGCAUUCAUAGCUGUCUUCUUGCUGUGUCCUCAUGUGGUAGAAGUGGGAGGGGGGCUCCACGGGUCUCUUUUGUGGGGACACUAAUCCUCUAUGUGAUCCACCCUCAUGCCCUGACUACCUCCCCAAAGUCACCCCUUCUAAUACCAUCCCUUUGGGGGCUAGGAUUUCAGCAUAGGAAUAUGGGGAACAUGAUGAUUCAGUCCAUUGCGAUGGUCCAUCCUGACUGUUUUUCAGGCCUUGUGCUAAUAAAAAGGGAUCACGUGGUUCCUGUAGUGGCUCAGCAGACAUUAAUCCAGCUAGUAUCCAUGAGGAUGCAGGUUCGAUCCCUGGCCUCGCUCAGUGGGUCAGGGAUCCAGCGUUGCUGUGAGCCAUGGUGUAGGUCUCAGACUCAGCUCAGGUCUAGCGUCGCUGUGGCUGUGGUGUAGGCCAGUGGCUACAGCUCCGAAUUGACCCCUAGCCUGGGAACUUCCUUAUGCCUUGGAUACAGCCCUAAACAAAAGCAAAAAAGUAAAAAUAAAAAAUAAAAAAGGGAUCAGAUUAUUAGGUCAUUUAGGUCUCCUAUUGCUUUAUGUUUGGGAGUUGUGUUUUAUUAUCAUAUAAAUAGUAUAUAUUCAUUAAAGAAAAAUUAGAAAAGAAGAAUAAAUCAAAGAAGACAAAACUCAAAAUGUGCAUACACACAAACCCCCAAGAUCUUCUAAUACAGAUAAAAUCUGUACUGACAUUUUAUUGUGUAUUUUCCCAAACUUUCUCCGAAUGUAAUUAUAUAUACA